AACGAACGCUGGCGGCAUGCCUAACACAUGCAAGUCGAACGAGACCUUCGGGUCUAGUGGCGCACGGGUGCGUAACGCGUGGGAACCUGCCCUUAGGUUCGGAAUAACUCCCCGAAAGGGGUGCUAAUACCGGAUAAUGUCUUCGGACCAAAGAUUUAUCGCCUUUGGAUGGGCCCGCGUUGGAUUAGCUAGUUGGUAGGGUAAAAGCCUACCAAGGCGACGAUCCAUAGCUGGUCUGAGAGGAUGAUCAGCCACACUGGGACUGAGACACGGCCCAGACUCCUACGGGAGGCAGCAGUGGGGAAUAUUGGACAAUGGGCGAAAGCCUGAUCCAGCAAUGCCGCGUGAGUGAUGAAGGCCUUAGGGUUGUAAAGCUCCCUUACCCGGGAUGAUAAUGACAGUACCGGGAGAAUAAGCUCCGGCUAACUCCGUG
rnacentral:rRNA from 1 species